rnacentral:rRNA from 1 species
AAAAAAAAAAAACGAGUGAGUAAAACGUGAGUAACCUACCUUACACAAUAGUAUAGCCUCUGGACACGGAGAAUAAUACCCUAUAACGUUUCAUCAGCACAUGCUGGCCAAACCAACGAUUUAUCGGUGUAAGAUGGACUUGCGUCUGAUUAGCUAGUUGGUCAAAUCAAAGCUCCACAAGUCGACGAUCAGUAGCCGGCGGGAGAGAGUGUGCGGCCACUGUGGGACUGAGAAACGGACCAAACUCCGACGUGAGGCAGCAGUGGUGAAUUUUGCACAAUGGGGGAAACCAUGAUUCUUUUUUUUUGUUUAAUGU